rnacentral:rRNA from 1 species
AGCGAACGCUGGCGGCAGGCCUAACACAUGCAAGUCGAACGAACCCUUCGGGGUUAGUUGCGGACGGGGGAGUAACACGUGGGAAACGUGCUUUUAGGUCCGGAAUACCUCAGGGAAACUUGUGCUAAUACAGAAUGUGCCCUUCGGGGGUAAGAUUUAUUGCCUUUAGAGCGGCCCGCGUCUGAUUAGCUAGUUGGUGAGGUAAUGGCUCACCAAGGCUACGUUAAGUAGCUGGUCUGAGAGGAUGACCCGCCACACUGGGGCUGAGACACGGCACAAACUCCUACGGGAGGCAGCAGUGGGGAAUCUUGCGCAAUGGGGGAAAGCCUGACGCAGCCAUGCCGCGUGGAUGAUGAAGGUCUUAGGAUUGUAAAAUCCUUUCACCGGUGAAGAUAAUGACUGUAGCCGAAGAAGAAGCCCCGGCUAACUUCGUGCCAGCCGCCGCCGUAAAAC